CGUAGGGUGCGAGCGUUGUCCGGAAUUAUUGGGCGUAAAGAGCUCGUAGGCGGUGUGUCGCGUCGGCCGUGAAAACCUGCAGCUUAACUGUGGGCUUGCGGUCGAUACGGGGCAUCACGUGGAGUUCGGCAGGGGAGACUGGAAUUCCUGGUGUAGCGGUGAAAUGCGCAGAUAUCAGGAGGAACACCGGUGGGCGAAGGCG
rnacentral:rRNA from 1 species